rnacentral:rRNA from 1 species
GUGGGUACCUACCCUUAGGUGAGGAAUACCACCGAGAAAUCGGUGACAAUACCGCAUAUCUUUCUCACGAAAGAAAGUCUUGCGCAAGCGAGACGCCUGAGGAUGGGCCUGCGCCUGAUUAGCUAGUUGGUGAGGUAACAGCUUACCAAGGCCACGAUCAGUAGCUGGUCUGAGAGGAUGAUCAGCCACACUGGGAUUGAGAACGGCCCAG